UACGUAGGGGGCGAGCGUUGUCCGGAAUUAUUGGGCGUAAAGAGCUCGUAGGCGGUCUGUUGCGUCCGCUGUGAAAACUCGGGGCUUAACCCCGAGCCUGCAGUGGAUACGGGCAGACUAGAGGUAGGUAGGGGAGAAUGGAAUUCCGGUGUAGCGGUGAAAUGCGCAGAUAUCGGGAGGAACACCGGUGGCGAAGGCGGUUCUCUGGGCCUUACCUGACGCUGAGGAGCGAAAGCGUGG
rnacentral:rRNA from 1 species